rnacentral:rRNA from 1 species
GAUGAACGCUGACAGAAUGCUUAACACAUGCAAGUCUACUUGAACUUCGGUUUGGGUGGCGGACGGGUGAGUAACGCGUAAAGAACUUGCCUCACAGUUAGGGACAACAUUUGGAAACGAAUGCUAAUACCUGAUAUUAUGAUUUUAGGGCAUCCUAGGAUUAUGAAAGCUAUAUGUGCCGUGAGAGAGCUUUGCGUCGCAUUAGCUAGUUGGAGAGGUAACGGCUCACCAAGGCGAUGAUGGGUAGCCGGCCUGAGAGGGUGAACGGCCACAAGGGGACUGAGACACGGCCCUUACUCCUACGGGAGGCAGCAGUGGGGAAUAUUGGACAAUGGACCAAAAGUCUGAUCCAGCAAUUCUGUGUGCACGAUGACGUUUUUCGGAAUGUAAAGUGCUUUCAGUUGGGAAGAAAAAAAUGACGGUACCAACAGAAGAAGUGACGGCUAAAUACGUG